UGGUCAAGUUAUUAAGGGUGCAGGGCGGAUGCCUUGGCACUAGGAGCCGAUGAAGGACGUGAUAAGCUGCGAUAAGCUUCGGGGAGUUGCACGUAAACUUUGAUCCGAAGAUUUCCGAAUGAGGAAACUCACUUAGAGUAAUGUCUAAGUAUCAUUAAGUGAAUACAUAGCUUAAUGAGGGGAACUCAGGGAACUGAAACAUCUAAGUACCUGAAGGAAGAGAAAGAAAUUCGAUUCCGUAAGUAGCGGCGAGCGAACGCGGAUUAGCCCAAACCAAUAAAGUUUUCUUUAUUGGGGUUGCGGACAUAUCAUAACGAAGAGGUAUCGUAAUUGAAGAGGUUUGGAAAGACCCACCACAGAAGGUAAUAGUCCUGUAUGUUAAACGAGAAGACUUUAGAUAUGAUCCAGAGUACCACGGGACACGUGAAACCCGGUGGGAAGCAGGAGGGACCACCCUCCAAGGCUAAAUACUACCUAGUGACCGAUAGCGUAUAGUACCGUGAGGGAAAGGUGAAAAGAACCCCGGGAGGGGAGUGAAAUAGAACCUGAAACCCUGCACU
rnacentral:rRNA from 1 species